GAUAUGUUUAAAAUACAUAUAAAAUUUGAAAAAUAUUAAUUUUAUCUUUAAAAAAAUUUAUAUCAAUUUGAUUUCUGUAAAAAUAAAAUAUAAUUUUACUAAUCUUUAAUGAUAGUUUGGAGGAAUCCGUCUGAGGAGUUCGCGUCUGAUUAGCUAGUUGGCGAGACAAUAACUUUCCAAGGCGACAAUCUUGAUCCAAGAGACCAAGACGAUGAUCAGCCACACUGGAACUAAGACACAGCCUACACUCCUACAGGAGGCAGUAGUGAGAAUUUUCUACAAUGGACGAAAGCCUGACAGAGCAAUGCC
rnacentral:ncRNA from 1 species